UCUCUUUAAUUGGAACUGUUCCCCGUUCCCUAUGCAAUGCUGUUUGAAAGAAAACAACAUCCUUCAUGUUCCGAAGCUCAAUUGCCACACGUUUGGCUACUGGCCACUGGAAAGUCAUCAGAAACACGGACCCUCCAGGCCAGGCCAAUUCAAAUGACUGUGGAGUGUUCAUGGUUAUGUACGCUCUUUAUAUGGCCUUGGAGAUUUGACUUCAGUCAGCAAAAUUCAACGUAUGGGGGACAUACAUCCCGAGGAAUCCCUUGAACAGAGAACCAUGACAAGAAUCAAUGGAGCAGUAUGCUGGAUACGGGACAACAUGUCUCUUUUCCGUGGACAUGUUGAACUGCCCAGCAUAUUGUCCAUGACAGCAGAGGAUCGACAGCAGUUCUUUCAGAACAUCGCCAAUGAUGAUGACAUCCAUGGCUCAAGAGAAUGCCUCCUUUUUGUUUUUGAAUAUUAAGAAGAUUACACAGUUUUUUUUUAUUCUUGUCCAGCUGUGUCGGCAAUGUUUAACACCCCUACCCUUUCCCCUUAGCCAGAGGA